rnacentral:rRNA from 1 species
CGUGCCUAUUGAAGAAUGAGCCAACGAGUUUAUGUAUGCUGCUUAGCUAAAGUUUUAAAAGACUGGAGCUGCAGGGAACCAAGUGUUAAUAGCGCGUAAUUGGUAGUAUACAUAAGACCCGAAGCCAGGUGAGCUACCCAUGAGCAGGGUGAAGGUGUGAGAAAUCACACUGGAGGCCCGAACCGGUGAGCCGUUUAACACUCUCGGAUGACUUGUGGGUUGGAGUGAAAAGCUAAUCGAACCUGGUAAUAGCUGGUUCUCUCCGAAAUAGCUUUAGGGCUAGCGUUGUGCGUUCCUCUUGGGGGUAGAGCACUGGAAGAUUUCGACAGGGAGCAAUCUCGCGACAUCUAUCAAACUCCGAAUACCAAGAGUUAAAAGCGCAGCAGUUAGACUACGGGGGCGAAGCUCCGUCAGUCAAAAGGGAAACAGCCCAGAUCUCUAAAUAAGGUCCCUAAAUCAAUGCUAAGUGCAAACCAAGGAUGUGGAAUUUCUUCGACAAUGAGGAUGUUGGCUUAGAAGCA